rnacentral:rRNA from 1 species
AUUGAACGCUGGCGGCAUGCUUUACACAUGCAAGUCGAACGGCAGCGCGGGCUUCGGCCUGGCGGCGAGUGGCGAACGGGUGAGUAAUGCAUCGGAACGUGCCCAGUAGUGGGGGAUAGCCCGGCGAAAGCCGGAUUAAUACCGCAUACGACCUGAGGGUGAAAGCGGGGGACCGAAAGGCCUCGCGCUAUUGGAGCGGCCGAUGUCGGAUUAGCUAGUUGGUGGGGUAAAGGCUUACCAAGGCGACGAUCCGUAGCUGGUCUGAGAGGACGACCAGCCAAAAGGGAAUUGAGAAACGGCCCAGACUCCGACGGGGGCAAGCGUUGGGGAAUUUGGGACAUGGGGGGCAGCCCGAACCCAGCCAUGCCGCGGGGGGGAAGAAGGCUUGCGGGUUUAAAACGGCUUUUGUUGGGGAAGAAAUCCACGGGGCUAAUCCCCGGGGGGUAGGACGGGACCGAAAUAAAAAGCACGGGCUAACGCCGUG